AGCUCGACGCCUGAACCCCUUGUGAACCAAAACAACCUUUCGCUUCGGCAGCAGCAGCGGUCUGGGUACCCUCCCAGCCCGCGGCUUAAGCCUGCCGGUGGCACCACACAACCAAACUUGNAAACUAAAAACCUGUCUGACAACCAUAUUUUCGAAUGAAAAUUAAAACUUUCAACAACGGAUCUCUUGGUUCCCGCAUCGAUGAAGAACGCAGCGAAACGCGAUAGUUAAUGUGAAUUGCAGAAUUCAGUGAAUCAUCGAGUCUUUGAACGCACAUUGCGCCCAUCGGUAUUCCGUUGGGCAUGUCUGUUUGAGCGUCAUUACAACCCUCGACACCAGUCGGUCGUGAGCUCCGCCGGGCGUGACAGCCCGGUUGGCUUUAAAGUUGUAAGCUCUGCUGGCCUCCGCGCCCAACCGAGACAUAGUAAGCCUACUUGUCAGAGGUGAGCGCGGUUUGGUUCGGCCUGAACAAAACCUACCACAUUCUAAGGUUUGACCUCAGAUCAGACAAGGAUACCCGCUGAACUUAAGCAUAUCAAUAAGCGGAGGAAAAGAAACCAACAGGGAUUGCCUCAGUAACGGCGAGUGAAGCGGCAACAGCUCAAAUUUGAAAUCUGGAGCCCUCGGCUUCCGAGUUGUAAUUUGAAGAGGAUGUUUCGGUCGUGGCCUGGGCCUAAGUUCCUUGGAACAGGACGUCAUUGAGGGUGAGAAUCCCGUACAUGGCUCCCGGCUUGCGAUCAUGUGAAGCUCCUUCGAAGAGUCGAGUUGUUUGGGAAUGCAGCUCAAAAUGGGUGGUAAAUUUCAUCUAAAGCUAAAUAUUGGCGGGAGACCGAUAGCGCACAAGUAGAGUGAUCGAAAGAUGAAAAGCACUUUGAAAAGAGAGUUAAACAGUACGUGAAAUUGUUGAAAGGGAAGCGCUUGCAAUCAGACUCGCUUGCGGUUGAUCAACGUUCCUUCUGGUGCGUGCACUCUGCCGUUGGCGGGCCAGCAUCGGUUGGGGCGGCGGGACAAAGGCGGCGGGAAUGUGGCUCCCCUCGGGGAGUGUUAUAGCCCGCUGUGUAAUGC
rnacentral:rRNA from 1 species